rnacentral:misc_RNA from 1 species
UGAGAAACACAGAAGUGGAUGC